GCAAGGGGAGCGGCAGACGGGAGAGUAACACGUGGGAACGUACCCUUUGGUUCGGAACAACCCAGGGAAACUUGGGCUAAUACCGAAUAAGCCCUUACGGGGAAAGAUUUAUCGCCGAAGGAUCGGCCCGCGUCUGAUUAGCUAGUUGGUGGGGUAACGGCCCACCAAGGCGACGAUCAGUAGCUGGUCUGAGAGGAUGAUCAGCCUCACUGGGACUGAGACACGGCCCAGACUCCUACGGGAGGCAGCAGUGGGGAAUAUUGGACAAUGGGCGCAAGCCUGAUCCAGCCAUGCCGCGUGGGUGAUGAAGGCCCUAGGG
rnacentral:rRNA from 1 species